rnacentral:lncRNA from 1 species
GGGCUGGGCUGCGGUACUCACCGGCCAGCGGCCCGUGCUUGUCGUUCAAGGCCUCGGACAGGUGCUUAACUCGGAAAUCAUGCUCGUGACCUGGCGAGAUGUCGGCCGCACAAACACAAGCAGCGUUUAUCCAGGGGCCAGGCAGGCCGCCCCUUGGGGUACAGGGAAGAAGCCCUUCAUCUCCAGGAGGGGGACGUCAGAUGGGGAUGGGGAAGGGGGCAUCGGAGAGGGCCCUGAGCCCCUCCUCUACCUCAAGCCACCUUGGGAACAGCCGUUUCAAGCCUGACUUCAGUGAGCACCCAGGACCGUCCUUAGCUGCUCAUUUCCCCGAGCCUGGAGGCCCAGGGAAAGCGGAGAAGGACCAAGGAGGGGCUGAAGAGCUGAUGCUUGGCCCCAGGGGGGUUCCCCACCUCGCUGUAUUUGGGGAAAGCCCCAGUUUGCCUGUCCUCUGCUGCACACACUCCCCUUUCUAAAGAUGGGAAGGCCGGGAGGCCUCGGCCAGCUGGGGCCUGCCACUGCUGGUCUGAGCGUGAAAGGGCUGCCCCAAGACAAAUAACUUUUUCUGAGUUCACACAGGAGACAAGGACAGAGACAGGGAAGGGAGGAGGGAAGCCUCAGGGAGGGCAGAGCUGCCAUCAGCCAGAGAGGACCAGGCCGAGGGCUGCGAAACUGUCCCUGUGCCCGCUGAAGCCCGAGUGGCAUCGGGGACCUGCCGUUCCCACCCUGCUCCCCUCAGGGUUUCUCCCGAGGCCCUCCUGGGGGAGGCUCUGCCCUGCCAAGUGCGUGGACACACAGUGGAGGAGGAAGGGACAGGAGGGGAACACAGGGUGAUUACCUUCCAGAGGAAUGAGGUUAGAGCCCCCCUUUUUCCCAUCUAGACCAUGCUGGGAAUACUGUUUCAGAAGGUUCUGAGCCUUACGGAUCGUCCCUGUCACCAGAGCCACACAGAGAGGAGAUAAGAAGACCUAGGAAAUGAGUGAGAGAAAACAGCAGCGGCCCUCCACCUGCCCCCCAGGCCCCGCACCCAGCUCCCCAACAGUGAGCAGGCCUUUCCCUGAGACCACCAGAGACGCUGGGGACAAGGAUGAAGGAAAGGAGUCAUUUCCUUCUCCAAAUGGAGCCUUGAUUCUACUACCGACCCUCCUUGUUCUGGAUUUCAGCUCAUUUCUGAAAGGACAGAGGGUAAUGAAGAUGGACCAAGAUCCACCAGGAGAAGUCAAAAAUAUGGAGUGGCAUCAUAAUCAGAACAGGCGAGGGCUCAGGUCGGAGGAGCCCGUGACAAAGCUCGCAUACCCAGAGGGCACAACCAGGGUGGGAGAGCCUGGGGGGCACCCUGAAGCCAGCAGGCCCCCAGCCCAGCCC